AGAAUUGCUGCUAAGGAACUCGGCAAAUUGACCCCGUAAGUUCGCGAGAAGGGGUGCCUGCGAGAGCAGGCCGCAGUGACCAGGCCCAAGCAACUGUUUAUCAAAAACACAGGUCUCUGCUAAAGCGCAAGCUGAUGUAUAGGGGCUGACGCCUGCCCGGUGCUGGAAGGUUAAGGGGAAUAGUUAGCAUAUGCGAAGCUAUGAACUUAAGCCCCAGUAAACGGCGGCCGUAACUAUAACGGUCCUAAGGUAGCGAAAUUCCUUGUCGGGUAAGUUCCGACCCGCACGAAUGGCGUAAUGAUUUGGGCACUGUCUCGGCAGCAAAUCCGGUGAAAUUGUAGUGCAAGUGAAGAUGCUUGCUACCCGCGGUUGGACGGAAAGACCCCGUAGAGCUUUACUGUAGCUUAGCAUUGAAUUUCGGUAUUGUCUGUACAGGAUAGGUGGGAGACUUAGAAGUAGGGACGUCAGUCUCUAUGGAGUCGUCCUUGGGAUACCACCCUGACAGUACUGGGAUUCUAACUGGAGGCCAUGAAUCUGGUCACAGGACAUUGUUAGGUGGGCAGUUUGACUGGGGCGGUCGCCUCCUAAAAGGUAACGGAGGCGCCCAAAGGUUCCCUCAGCGCGGUCGGAAAUCGCGCGUAGAGUGUAAAGGCAGAAGGGAGCCUGACUGCGACACAUACAGGUGGAGCAGGGACGAAAGUCGGGCUUAGUGAUCCGGUGGUUCUGUAU
rfam:Clostridium colicanis DSM 13634 CLCO_contig000049, whole genome shotgun sequence.